GCCGAGCUCAGUAGCGAGAGCUUGUGACCCGAGUGGGGGCAAUAAGGUGGCGUGGAUGUUUGGUGUGGGCUCUGGUCCUGGGCCUGUGAUGUGUCCUUUGCUGGCCUGCCCGUUCCAAGUUGGUAGUGGCCUGUGGGGGUUUAGGCGAAAGCUUGGGCCUCUCUGGACCUAAAGUGGCAGGAAUGGCGUGAGGCUGGCUUCACAGAGCAGCGAUCACUGCCCGCUCCCAACGGUGGGAGGAUAACAGGCCGCUGCAUCACGGGCCCGCUUGUGGCCCAGAGUCCCUCCAUAACAGACCACCAUCUUU
rnacentral:SRP_RNA from 1 species